ACGGCUGAUUGAAACAGAAAGUAAAGUUGUUCUUUUGUUCAGGAUCCAUUUUGAGACGACAGAGCAGAAAACACUAUAUGGAGAUUAUUGAAAAAUAAAGGGUCCUGUCUCUAAAAUGAGUCUCUUUGGGGAGAGAGAGGAGGGGGACCCUGCCUCUAAAAUGAGUCUCUCUGGGGAACAUGACACCAAAUCUAAGAGUCCAAUCAAGCAGGAGAGACCAGCCUCCCCUGUUCCCAGCUGUGUGUCCAUGAAGAGUGACUGGUCAAUGAGUCAAC